AUUUUUUUAGUUGUUAACAGACCUUUUAUUUAUUUAUAUGCAGUGCUAAAAAUCAAACCCAGGGCCUCACAGAGCUAGGCAAGCACUCUACCACUGAGCCACAACUCCAGCCCAUGGAACUGAUUUUAACAGCCUCCAGGAGAUAAUUCACAAGCAGAAGAAUGGGUUCAAAGUGUGUAAUUCUGUGUUUCUGGGAUGUUCAUGCUGCACUGCCAUUACCACCAUCUAAUGUUUGAUUACGUUCACCCAAAUUAAGCAGCUUCUUUCCUAAAAAGCAGUCCCCCAUUCUCCAAAUGCUGGGUGACCGAGGUCCACUUCCUGCUUCCAUCUCCAGUCCUCUUCCUGUCUCCUGGUGGGUGAACUCACCAGUUCAUGUCCUGGGUUGACCUCUGGUCACUUACCAUCUCUACUGGUCCACUUUCUGGGUGACCGCCAGUCACUUCCAGUCUCCUCUGAUCACUGGUCCAGUACCAAGGGUAACCAGGUCCACUUCCUAUCUCCAAGGGUGACACCAGUUCAUUUCCCAUAUCAAUGUAGGGGAAACUGGUCCACUUACUGCUUCCACAGGUGAUCACUUUCUGUCCCCAUGGAGGAAGACUGGUUCACCCCAAGGGUGACCACUGGUCCACUUCUUAUCCAUACAGGUGACCUCUGGUCUCCUGGAUUUCUUUCUCCAUGGGUUUGCCAUUCUGGACACACUAAUGUUUCACUGGUAUAGUGUUUUCUUUCUUCCUUUUUUACAAAAAUAUAUUCAGUUGUCAAUGAACCUUUAUUUAUUUAUUUAUUUGUUUAUUUAUUUAUGUGGUGCUGAGAAUCAAACCAGGUGCCUUACGCAUUCCAAGCAAGCACUCUACCUCUGAGCCACAAACCCAGCCCUCUUUCUUCCUUUUUUAAUUGGUGCAUUUUAAUUACACAGUAGUGGAAUUGGCUGCUAAAUAUUCGUACAUGCAUACAUUAUAACAGUAAUUUGGUCAAUUUUGUUCCCAGUUCCUCCCUGUGUUAGUCAACUUUUCAUGUCCAAAAUAUCCCACAUGAACAACUUAGGAGGGAAAGUUUAUUUUAGCUCAUGGUUCCAGAGAUUAAGUCUAUGGUAGGUCGACUUCAUUGCUCUGGGCCAAAGGUGAAGCAGGAUCAUGGUGGAAGGCACAGGGAUGGGAAGCUGCUAAAUUCAUGUUAGCCAGAAAGGGACACACACACACACACAUGGGGGGGGGGAUGCCAUGGGGAACUUGAACCCUUCCAGGACAUGCCCCCAGGGACCCAUCUCCUCCAGCCCUGCCCUACCUGCCUACAGUUACCACCUGUCAGUUCAUUCAAACUAGGAUGGACUGAUUAGCUCUCACAACCAAUCAUUUCAUCUCUUAUUCCUGCAUCAACACAGGAGCUUUUGAGGGAUACUUCAUAUCCAAACCAUAGCACUUCCCUUUCCCUCCCUCCUCCAUUCCCCUACUUUAUUGGUUUCCCUUCUAUUAUCAUGAGUUCCUCCCCAUCUUUCCCCCCCCCCUUUUUUUUCUUUGUAGCUUCCAGGUGAAAGAAGACAUAUAACCCUUGACUCCCAGUUUGCCUUACUUCACUUAACAAAAACUAGCAAAAAUGUUUUGGACGUUCAUUCACAUUGCAGCAUGCAUCAGUAGUUUGUAUGGAUAAACCACGUUGUGUGUCCACUCAUCUGCUGAUGGACAGCUGGGUUGUUUCCACAGUCUGACGUAUUACUUGUUAAUAAUGUUGCUGUAACAUUGGUGUGCAAGUUGCAUAGACCCACCUGGCAAUUCUCUUAGGUACACACCUAGAGUGGAAUGUUAAAUUCUGUUCAACAGGGAGCACCCACUAGCCUGCUUUCCAAAGUGAAGGCAUGGUUUGGUGUUCCCACCAGUAGCAUGUAAGGACUGCAGUUCCUCCACAGCCCCCUAUGCUUAUUCCAGCCAUAAAGGCAUGUGAAAUAGGACCUCUCUCAUUGGGUGUGGGAUUGCAUUUUCUUGGUGACUAAUGA
rnacentral:lncRNA from 1 species